rfam:Felis catus isolate Cinnamon breed Abyssinian chromosome C1, whole genome shotgun sequence.
GCCUGGGUAGCUCAUUCAUUUGAGCAUCUGACUUCAGCUCAGGUCAUGAUCUCACAGUUUGUGGGUUCGAGCCCCGCAUCGGGCU